CAGCUGUUCUCAUAUUUUCAAAGAUCAUCGGGUUAUUUUCAGGUUAGACUCUUAGGAUUUAACUUUUUCGAAGUCUUAUAACUCUGUUUCUAAUGUUUAUGUUCAUAUUGCUUUGUUUAACGCUUUUUUUACUUACUAUAUUCAUAGUUUGGUUUGUCAAAGUUUCAUGGAAGAUUGAGUUGGUGAGUGUCUUUAGGUGACGAGGUAGUUAAAAUGGUGCAACUCAUGCUUAAACAUGUAUUCUCUGUUGCUUUAGUUUUAUUCCUAUAAAUUGUGAGUUUUAAUAUUUGUUAGGAUUUUGAUUUCUUUAUACAAAGAUUAAAAACUGCAUCUAUUUCUAUUAUUUGUGACAUUCAAGUUCGUUUAAUUAGAAAACCAUUCACUUACAUGUCAUAUGAGUGUUACAAUGAUUUAUGUGCUUUCAUUUAAGUGUAGCAGUGUAGGUAACUUUGUGACAGCUGAACCUUAUUUUGGAAAAUCGUAUAGCUGUGUGUGCUUACUAUAUAUGGUGUUCUUUGGUGUUCACAAUAUUGUGUGUGCAAUAUCUUGUCUGACUUGUGUGGAAUGAUUGACACAAUGAGUGAGUGUCUUUUGUAUUAAGUUCAUACAUAAUUCUUAAAGAACCUUAUGUAUAUAAUAUGUCAGUUUUUUGCAGCAAUAGAAUUUAUGGAUAUUUUAUUUGGUGCAUUGGUCUCACUAUGAUUCCUUAUUCCAAUUACGAAUUUAGCUUACCUUUGUAUCAUCUCGUUAUUAAUUAUUUACUCAUUUGAUCCUUCUUUGUCUUCUUUGUAUGGUCUUAUGCCCUUGCUUGUUGAGAUUUCUCAGUGAUAAGUAAAAUAUGAUGUCUUGUUUCGUAUGCUUGGUGAUGAUGAAUAUUAAUGAUCUAUAAAAUUGACCACUGUUUUUGGAAGUCUUAUAACUGUUUCUAAUGUUUGUGACCAUAUAGUUUAUACAGAAAAUUGCUAAGUUUAAUGCUUUUUUUUUUUAACUUGCUAUACUAAUAGUUUUGUUUGUCAAAGUUCCAUGGAAGAUCGUGAGAGUCAUUGUGAUUCCUUAUUCCAUUUAGGCAUUUAUUUGACCCUUUGUAUCAUGUCGUUGUUAGUAAUUACUUACUCAUUUGAUCCUUUCUCUUUCUGUUAUGGUCUUCUGCGCUUGUUUGUUGAGAUUUUUCAGUGUUUUUAGAAAAAAUGAUCAGUCUUGUUUCCUAUGAUUGGUGAUAAAUGAGGUUAAUGAUUUGUAAAAUUGACCACUUCUCACUGUUGAAGUUGACUAGCACAACAGUUCUCUUAGCUUUGUAAAUAGCUUUGUGAAAUCCAAGUUUAAGUAGAAACCAGUCAGUUACAUGUAGUGUGAGUGGUACAUAAGUAGAGUUGUAUAGGUUUGGUAUUUCGUGUUCUUGAAGAUCGUAUAGUACGUAGUUGUGUCUACCUUUACUAUAUCUAGUGUCACACAGUCACACUAAUGAAUAAGCGUUGUUGGUUCAUCAUUCUUAGAGAACUUGAUGUGUGAGAUCUGUCGUAAUGCAACCCAUUUGUCUUAUGAAUAUUUUAUUAGAUGGAUUUAAAGUGCAUUUGUUUCCACCCUUAUUCCAUUCCAAUUAGUCAUGCUGUUAGUUAUUAUUCGCUCCCACCCAAAACGUGUCAAUCCACUUUGAUGAAACUACUAGUCUUUGUAUCUCAUGGACUAUUUCUAGAACCCAAUUGUUGGGUACUGCUUAGCAUAUUCUUCUACCAUCUCACGCAGCUUUGCCAUCUCUGAUCGUAAUUUCUCAUUUGAUUGUAUUGUUGAAACAAAAAGCUUUUUAAUAUGUACCUUGAGACCCUGUCUUGAUCUUUAAGGCUUUCUUGACGUGAGAGCUGGUGUUCAUGUAACCAUAUAUCAUUUAUAUUGGAUUAAGGAUUAGGACGAGAUGUUCUUGGGAUAUUACAAGUGUAUUGCAACACUCUAUGUUACAUGAUCCUGAUUCCAGAGUGUGAGGCAUAACCAAAACUUAUAAUCAAUCUUUGUUUCGAUAUAAAAAUUUCAAAUUCGGUUAAUCGUACAUAUGGUACAUUUCAUAUAUGUUGUAAACUGAAUAUACGGUUUAGUAUUUGUUUAUUUUUCUAGUUGAUAAUCAUUAUCGCAACAUUCGUAGAGAGAUAAAAUGUAACGUAUGAGUUUUGUUUUAUUAUGAGAACAAACGAGAGUUUGUGAUAUUCGUCGUUAAUACAUACAAGUAUAUAUUAUGUUUGUGAUAUUUGUUUUAAUCUAGUUUUAAUCUUAUGUUCAAACUUUUGAAAAGUUUAUAUUGACGUAUGUUUUAAGUUGGAAUUGGAUAGAUGAAGACUUAAUUGGUAAGCAUUUUAUAGGGAAAAGCCACAGGGGAGUCCCAUCUGAAGUUGGAGGACAAGCUUAAGCUACACGGCACUUUUGAUAUUCCAACUAGCCCUCACUAAAUUCCAAUUUUACUUUUGCUCAUUGAAAAUGAUUUUUUUUGUAUCUUCGUUUCUGAUUUUUUUUUUACUUUUUAGUGCCAAGAACGAGUUUAUUCUUUUUCAAAGUCAAGUCUAUUGGAUUUAGAAGUAUUCUU
rnacentral:lncRNA from 1 species